GAAAAGACCCGAAGCUUCCUCUGGCGAUAAAGAGAGAAGCAAGUGACGGUGGCCGGCAGAGCUCCGACGCGGUGGCGGAAGACGUUGACGCAGAAGAGAAAAAUGAAGAUCGUGAUGAGAUUGGUAAGAAAAGUUUAAUCUUUUAUUGUAAUGAUGUAAAUUCGAAAUGAGCAUCUGUAUCUGAUUUUCGUAAUGGGGAAAGGGAAAGGAACUCCAUAUAAAUAGAGUUCCAAAAAGGGGGAAAACAAAAAACUGAAAAACAAAAACAAACAAACAGAAAAACACUGUCCUAACACGACAAUGAAGAGAAUCGAACGAUUCUCAACACCCUCCCUUCAAGCUGGACGGUGUAUAUUGACCAGUCCAAGCUUGGGAACAAUGUCUUUGAAGCAAACGCGAUGCGGGAAUUUGGUGAAGACGUCGGCCAGCUGUUCGUCAGAUCGCACUAGGAGAAGAUGCAGAAGUCCUUCUUAGAAUUUUUCACGAACAACGUGACAGUCAAGCUCGGUAUGCUUGGUCCGUUCGUGGAAGCUCUGGUUAUGAGCAAUGUGACGAGCAGAUUUGUUGUCGCAGUAUAGAACAGGGAUUCUAGAUUCUUCAAUUUGAAGAUCUUGUAAUAGGCAGUGGAGCCACUGUAUUUCACAUACAGUGGCAGCUAGGGCUCUGUACUCAGCUUCAGUAGAUGAUCUGGAAACAAUUCUCUGCUUUUUAGACUUCCAGGAAAUGAGAGAUGUCCCGAGAAAGAUACAAAAUCCUGUAGUGGACCUUCUGGUAUUGGGACAGGUAGCCCAAUCUGAGUCACUAAAGCCUUUUAAAUGCAUAGAAGAAUCAGCAGAGAAAAAUAGCCCUUCACUUGGUGUAGAUUUUAUGUAUCUAAGCACAUGUUGAACAACCCGAUAGUGAUGUUCUGUAGGUGACUGCAUAAAUUGGCUAAGUAAGUUAAUAGUGUAACAUAGGUCAAGUCUAGUAUUUGUAAGGUAAAGUAACUUCCCUAUUAAUCUUCUGUAAGGUCCAGGAUCAUCAAGAUAACUAUCCAAUUUGUAUAAAGGGCUUGUGUCCCUUAGGAAAGGAGUAGUAGAAGGUUUGCACCCUUCCAUUCCAAUUUCUUCAAGUAUGUCCAAGGCAUACUUUCUUUGACAUAGGUGAAUUCCUCUUUUAGAUCUGGCAACUUCCAAGCCAAGAAAAUAUUUGAGUUCUCCAAGAUUCUUUAUACGAAAUUUAUUGUGUAAGAGUUCUUUGAUGCAAUUGAUCUCUUCCAUAGAAUUUCCUGCCAACACAAUGUCAUCCACAUAUACAAGCAAAGCAGUGAAACAAGUGUCUGUUCUUUUAGUAAAUAAUGAGUGAUCAGAUUUGGAUUGUUUGUAAUCAACAGAAAUUAGAUAAGAGGACAAUUUUUCAAACCAUUGUCGGCUUGCUUGUUUCAAUCCAUAUAAGGAUUUAGUUAGUUUGCAAACCUGCCCCUCUUUGUGAAUGUCCAGUCUUGGAGGUGGUUGCAUAUAAACCUCUUCAUUGAGAUCACCAUGAAGAAACACAUUGUCAACAUCAAGUUGAUGUAAGAACCAAUUCUUAGAGGCUGCAAGAGCUAUCAAAAGUCUAACAGUAGUUAGUUUAGCAACUGGUGAAAAAGUGUCAAGGUAGUCUAUUCCCUCCUGUUGAGUAUACCCUUUUGCAACUAAACAGGCUUUAUGCCUCUCAAUGCUACCAUCGGCUUUAUACUUAGUUUUAUAUACCCACUUGCAGCCUAUAGGGGUUUUUGCUGGAGGCAACUGAGUUAGAGACCAAGUGUCAUUAUCUUGCAAUGCUUUAAUCUCCCUCUGCAUUGCCUCAACCCAUUGUCUUAUACCUUUGGCUUCAUUAUAAGUCCGAGGCUCUCUAUUUCCAGUGACAGCCAUGAUGUAAUUGGAGUGUUUCUCUGACAAAUUGUCACAACACAACAAUUUAGAAAUCGGAUAUGGAGUUUUGAAAUUAUUUUUCAUAGUUAAGGAUUGGUUCACCUGAUGAACAUAAUCUUCCAGAUAUGCAGGGGUCUUUCUGGCCCUCUCAGAUAUUCUCUGUUUAUGAUUCUCUUGGUUAUUAUCGAUGUUGACAGGAAUCUGCAACUCAUCUUCUUGAUUAAAUCCUUCUAGCCCAUCAUGUCUGUCUUCAUUAGUAGGAUAGUAGUCCUUUGAGAAAUCAAUAAAAGAUUCAUCUUCAUCUCUCUCAUUGUUUAUGCUUUGCUGGCUGUCUUGAGUAUUCUUAUAGGGAAAAACAUCUUCAUGGAAUAUCACAUUUCUACUUAUAAAAAGUUCUUUGUUGUUUAUGUCUAAAACAAUAUAACCUUUAACACCACUUUUAUAUCCUAGAAAAACUCCUUUUCUAGCUCUAGGAUCCAGUUUGUUUCUAUUGGUUUCAAGAGUAGAAGCAAAUUAAGAUCUAAGUAAGUAGGUGGAAGAUUAUAAAGCAUAUCAUGAGGGGUUUUAUUUCCAAUAGUGGGAGAAGGGAGUCUGUUUAUUAGAUAGACAACAUGUCCUACAACAUAUGACCAGUAAACCUUAGGUAUAUUAGAAUGAAAAAGAAGGUUGUGUGUCACAUUUAAAAUAUGUUGGUGUUUUCUUUCAACUACAGAGUUUUGUUCUGGAGUUUCAACACAACUUUUUUGAUGAAUGAUUCCAUGCAUAUCAUAGAAAUUGACACAAUUAAAUUUUGGCCCAUUGUCUGAUCUAACAAUUUUAAUCAUUUUGUUAAAUUGAUUUUUAACUUUGAUGACAAAAUUUUGCAAUAAGUCUCUGGUUUGUCCCUUGUUAUUCAUUAGGAAAACCCGUGUGUGUCUGCUAUAAUCGUCAACUAUGCUAAGAAAGUACCUAUGCCCAUGGACAGAAAUUGUAUUUAGGGGACCCCAAACAUCACAAUGAAUAAUCUCAAAGCAUUCAGUCGUAACAGAGGAACUUUUUGUAAAGGGUAGCUUAUGUUGUUUUGCAAAAUGACAAGUAUCACAUACAGUAUAAGUAUCAGUAUUAAUCUUGACAUAAGGAAACAUUUCACAUAUGUGUUUUACAACAUUGGGUCCAGGGUGACCUAGUCUAUGAUGCCACAAGUUAACAUCAGUCUUUUUAAACGAGAAAACCAACUUUGAAACAUCUCUUUGGUCAGUUUUAGGAAAAUCUUGCAGAUAAUAGAGUCCAUUCCAAGGUUUAGCAGAUCCAAUUGUCUUCAAUGAGUAGUUCUCCCUUAUCUGACAAUCCUUAGAGGAAAAGAUUAGGUUGUAAUUCAAGUCUUUGAUAAGACUUGGCACAUAAAUCAAAUUAAAACAAAAAUUAGGUAUAUAAAGGACAUUGAAAAUGGUAAAACUUUCAUUGAAUUUCACGGUUUCUGCAUGAUCAGCAGUGAUUAUAGUUUUAUUGAGUAGUUUUAUGGAAAUAGGUUUAAUUUUAUAGAAAACAAUAAAAUUGGUCUUGUCAUGUGUAACAUGAUCUGUUGCACCAGUCUCUAUGAUCCAGGAAGAAUUACCUGGUUUAUUCUCAGUUUCUCUCCUCUGAAUUUGAUUGAUCUUAUGAAUUGAUGGUUCUUCAGCCUUGUCUAACAUCCUCAAAAGCCUUUGCAUCUGUUCUGGUGUAAAGUGAUUGGUAUUACUAUUGUUAAUGGUCUGUUGUUGUGUCUUCAAAGUGCCUUCAGAAUCAGUGUUGUUUUGGCAAACAUUGAUAGAAUUCCAAUCAUUCCUUUUAUCUUCUUUCUUAUACCAAGGUGGGUAUCCAUGCUUAGAAUAGCACUCAUCAAUAGUGUGAUUCAUCCUGUUGCAAUAUGAACACUGUUUUCCAAAAUUUGGGUUUCUUCCCCUUCCUCUGCCUUGGCCACGAAUUCUAGUGCCACGUCCCUGAUUUCUCCAGUUCUGAUCGGGUUUCCAUUGAUUAGUUCUUUCUGCAACAUUUGCUAGAAUUCUAGUCUCAGCUGGACUUUGCUUUUCCUAUCUUUCUUGUUGCAUAAUAAGAGAGAAAACACGGUUAACGUUAGGCAAAGGAUCCAUUAAAAGAAUUUGUGUCCUAACAGUAUUGUAAGAAUCAUUCAAACCCUUCAAAAAACAAAUAACAUGUUCAACUUCUCUAUACUUCAACGAAAUCUUGGAUAAGUCACAGUUGCAUGGAGUUUCACAUGUGCAUGUGGGUAUGGGCCUUAAAGAUUCCAGUUCUUCCCACAAGAUUUUUAAGUCAGUAAAGAACUGGCUGACUCCUCGUUCUCCUUGUUUAAUUGAGUGUAUGUCCUGUAGAAGGUCUGAGAUUUUGAAAUAAUCUCCUUUGGAAAACCUCUUCUUAAGCUCGUCCCAUAAUUCUUUAGCCUCUUCCACGUAGAUAACACUUUCAGCAAUAUGUGGAGACAAGGUUUUUGUUAUCCAUGACAGAAUCAUAACGUUGUUUCUUUCCCAAGCAUCAUAGGCAGCAUCAGUUUUUUGGGGUUUCUUUAUGGACCCGUCUAUGAAUUUAAUCUUGUUUUUCGAAAGUAGUCCUCUCCUCAUGGCCCUGCUCCAAGAAGAGUAGUUAUUCUCGUUGAGAAUUUGUGUGAUUAGAGUCAAACCUGGGUUUUCUCCCGGGUGUAGGUAAAAUGGGUUGGCUGGAUUGAUGGCUUGAUCUUCUUGAUCCAUGGCAGCAAAAAGAACCCAAGAAUACAGUCCAAGAAGACACCAAGAACGGCCCAAGAAAAAAAACAGCGACGACAACGGAAGCAGAGCAGGUACUAGACCUGCUCUGAUACCAUAUUGCUUCGGACCCAACAUUGUGCACUUAUGGCCCAAUACAUGUUGGCCCGUGAACGUGAUAUAUUGGAAAACAAAAGAUAGUGUACGUGGAAGAUUUGAAGUUCAGAGCAGUGAGAAAAGAAAAGACCCGAAGCUUCCUCUGGCGAUAGAGAGAGAAGCGAGUGACGGUGGUCGGCAGAGCUCCGACGCGGUGGCGGAAGACGUUGACGCAGAAGAGAAAAAUGAAGAUCGUAAUGAGAUCGGUAAGAAAAGUUUAAUCUUUUAUUGUAAUGAUGUAAAUUCGAAAUGAACAUCUGUAUCUGAUUUUCGUAAUGGGGAAAGGGAAAGGAACUCCAUAUAAAUAGAGUUCCAAAAAGAGGGGAAACAUAAAACUAAAAAAAAAAAACAAACAAACAGAAAAACACUGUCCUAACACGAUAGUGAAGAGAAUCGAACGAUUCUCAACAAUAACAGUUCUUAAAAUAUUCUUCUUCUGCGUUUCUUGCUUCUUUUCCCUUUUCCUCUUCAUCUUAAAAGAAAAAAUGGAAAAUUGAACUUACCUUCCUUUAAAUUACACACACUCCCUUUUAUAUUACAACAUACACUCACUUAUACCUCAUUUAUAUUUUUAAUAAAAUAAAUUAAUGACAAAUAAACUUAUAUUCGUAGAUAUUAUUCAAAUUUCUUUAUGUUAACGGAGAAUACUCAUAUUAAUAAGAUAUUAGUAUCAUUAUAUCUAAAUGUUUAAAUCAAAUACAAAAUGAUGAUGAAUAUUUACAUAUUUAUCUUACUCUUAUCCUCAUAAUUUAAAAUUUGUAAAAAACACUUUAUUUUUGUUUGGUAUUCUAUUUUAAUAUUUUUGCAAUUAUAUUUAUAAUAUAAUUUUGAAAAAAGGUAUUUUGUGUGAUUUUCAUAAAAUACAUAAACAAAAUAUUUCAUAAUUUAAUUUAAUAUUUUUAUAAUUUAGUGUAAAGAAGAAAUAUAAUUUUUAUAAUAAUUUGAGAACUGAAAUCACAUUUAAUUGAUUUUUUUUUAACUUUUAUCAAUAAAAAAUAUUAAAAACCAAAGUUAAAAUUUACCAAAUUUUCAAGGACUAUCAUACAGUUUAAACCUGUAUUAUUUUUUGAUCAUGUAACUCUGUUUUCUUUAUCGAUCAGCAUGUCCAGAUAAAUAAGACAGAAGAAGGCAGAUAUUUGAAUAUAGAAAACAUGUAUUAUGAGCAAAAUGAAGGGCUGUUGAUGUGAAUAGUAUACGUGAGCAACCAAAAAUUGAAGAAAAUAAAACAAUGGAUGGAGAGAACAUGCAUAAUCAAACAAACUAUGUGGAACAGCAUCCACUCUUUUUAACAGCUGAGACAUCUUCUUUGGUUCCAAGAACAAUGGUUUCCCCUUUGGGCAAGGAUGUUGCAUGAGAUUCAUCCACUGUCUCAAGUGUUUUCCUACUCACAACAUUGUAUAUCUGACUCAGCACUUCUACAAAAGCACUGUCCACAUUCAAGGACUCAAGGGCAGAGGUUUCCAUGAAGAAUAUCUUCUCUUUUUCUGCAAAUUCUUUGGCUUCAUCAGUUGACACUGCACGCAAAUGUCGAAGAUCUGCCUUGUUUCCCA
rnacentral:lncRNA from 1 species